GGAGCGUAGGUGGCCUAACAUGUCAACUGUGAAAACCCCGGAGCUCAACUCCGGACUUGCAGUUGAAACUGGUAGGCUUGAGGACGGUAGAGGAAGACGGAACUGCCAGUGUAGGGGGUUAAAAUCCUUAGAUAUUGGCAGGAACGCCGGUGACGAAGGUGGUUUUCUGGGCCGGUUCUGACACUGAUGCUCGAAAGCCAGGGGAGCGAACG
rnacentral:rRNA from 1 species